rnacentral:rRNA from 1 species
UAAGGAAUAUUGGACAAUGGAGGGAACUCUGAUCCAGCCAUGCCGCGUGAAGGAUGAAGGCGCUCAGCGUUGUAAACUUCUUUUGGAUGGGAACAAUAACUUCUACGUGUAGGAGCUUGAGGGUACCAUCAGAAUAAGCACCGGCUAACUCCGUGCCAGCAGCCGCGGUAAUACGGAGGGUGCAAGCGUUAUCCGGAAUCACUGGGUUUAAAGGGUGCGUAGGCGGUGGCGUAAGUCAGUUGUGAAAUUCCCCGGCUUAACCGGCGGGACUGCGAUUGGUACUGCGUCACUUGAAUCAGGAUGAGGUAGGCGGAAUGUGACAUGUAGCGGUGAAAUGCUUAGAUAUGUCAUAGAACACCGAUUGCGAAGGCAGCUUGCUGGACCUGUAUUGACGCUGAGGCACGAAAGCGUGGGGAGCAAACAGG